GGAGGUGUAGCUCAGUUGGUAGAGCAACGGACUUUUAAUCCGUAGGUCGUGGGUUCGAGUCCCACCACCUUCA
rnacentral:tRNA from 1 species